UGAGUUGGAACAAGACACAGAGCAAUUAAAAACCACUCAAGGUUUCCUGUAACAGCAAAACCAAGAUGAGAGUAGGGGUCACCUAACUCUGUGGACAGAUCUUUUUCAGGGGAACAUAAAGAACAAAAAUCCUUUAUGCGCUUAGAACUCAGUUGUUUAACUGGUCAACUAGAAACACUGUGUGAGUAAGCCCUUAGUCGUGAAAGCAAGACCACACGCCUGGUGUCUGGAGCAGAGAGCAUUCUUAGUUAUUGAUAUGACAUAGACAACUUUUCCCUGGAAGAUCAGGAAGGACUCAACUCCUGAGCCAUCUCUCCAGCCCCAUCUAAUACACAUGGAAGCACAAAUAUAAGGUAUUCUCCAAUU